rnacentral:rRNA from 1 species
GACGAACGCUGGCGGCGUGCUUAACACAUGCAAGUCGAACGGUAAGGCCCUUCGGGGUACACGAGUGGCGAACGGGUGAGUAACACGUGGGUGAUCUGCCCUGCACUUCGGGAUAAGCCUGGGAAACUGGGUCUAAUACCGGAUAGGACUCCGGACUGCAUGGUCUGGGGUGGAAAGCUUUUGCGGUGUGGGAUGGGCCCGCGGCCUAUCAGCUUGUUGGUGGGGUGAUGGCCUACCAAGGCGACGACGGGGAGCCGGCCUGAGAGGGUGACCGGCCACACUGGGACUGAGCUACGGCCCAGACUCCUACGGGAGGCAGCAGUGGGGAAUAUUGCACAAUGGGCGCAAGCCUGAUGCAGCGACGCCGCGUGAGGGAUGACGGCCUUCGGGUUGUAAACCUCUUUCAGCACCGACGAAGCGCGAGUGACGGUAGGUGCAGAAGAAGGACCGGCCAACUACGUGCCAGCAGCCGCCGCGG